UACGGGGGGGGCAAGCGUUGUUCGGAAUUACUGGGCGUAAAGGCGCGUAGGCGGCCUGCUAAGUCGGAUGUGAAUCCCUCGGCUCAACCGAGGAACUGCAUCCGAUACUGGCGGGCUUGAAUCCGGGAGAGGGAUGUGGAAUUCCAGGUGUAGCGGUGAAAUGCGUAGAUAUCUGGAGGAACACCGGUGGCGAAGGCGGCAUCCUGGACCGGUUAUUGACGCUGAGG
rnacentral:rRNA from 1 species